GGUCUAGUGGUGUAAUGGUUAUCACGUCUCGCUCACAUGCCGAGGAGGCUCGGAGUUCGAUCCUCCGCUGGAUCA